AUUGAACGCUGGCGGCAGGCCUAACACAUGCAAGUCGAGCGGAUGAAGGGAGCUUGCUCCUGGAUUCAGCGGCGGACGGGUGAGUAAUGCCUAGGAAUCUGCCUGGUAGUGGGUGAUAACGUCCGGAAACGGGCGCUAAUACCGCAUACGUCCUGAUGGAGCAAGUGGGGGAUCUUCGGACCUCACGCUAUCAGAUGAGCCUAGGUCGGAUUAGCUAGUUGGUGGGGUAAAGGCCUACCAAGGCGACGAUCCGUAACUGGUCUGAGAGGAUGAUCAGUCACACGGGAGCUGAGACACGGUCCAGACUCCUACGGGAGGCAGCAGUGGGGAAUAUUGGACAAUGGGCGAAAGCCUGAUCCAGCCGUGCCGCGUGUGUGAAGAAGGUCUUCGGAUUGUAAAGCACUUUAAGUUGGGAGGAAGGGCAGUAAGUUAAUACCUUGCUGUUUUGACGUUACCAACAGAAUAAGCACCGGCUAACUUCGUG
rnacentral:rRNA from 1 species